rnacentral:rRNA from 1 species
UACAGAGACUGCAAGCGUUAAUCGGAAUUACUGGGCGUAAAGCGUGCGCAGGCGGUUUUGUAAGUCUGUCGUGAAAUCCCCCGGGCUUAACCUGGGAAUUGCGAUGGAGACUGCAAGGCUAGAAUCUGGCAGAGGGGGUAGAAUUCCACGUGUAGCAGUGAAAUGCGUAGAGAUGUGGAGGAACACCGAUGGCGAAGGCAGCCCCUGGGUCAAGAUUGACGCUCAUGCA